CAUCAUCUCUCUCUGUUAGGGGGUUGGUAUUAUCAUCAUCUCUCUCUCUGUUAAGGGGUUGGUAUUAUCAUCAUCUCUCUCUGUUAGGGGGUUGGCAUUAUCAUAAUCUCUCUCUGUUAGGGGGUUGGUAUUAUCAUCAUCUCUCUCUCUGUUAAGGGGUUGGUAUUAUCAUCAUCUCUCUCUGUUAGGGGGUUGGUAUUAUCAUCAUCUCUCUCUGUAAGGAGGUUGGUAUUAUCAUCUCUCUCUCUGUUAGGGGGUUGGUAUUAUCAUCUCUCUCUGUUAGGGGGUUGGUAUUAUCAUCUUCUCUCUGUUAGGUGUUUCGUAUUAUCAUCAUCUCUCUCUGUUAGGAGGUUGGUAUUAUCAUCUCUCUCUGUUAGGGGCUUGGCAUUAUCAUCAUCUCUCUCUCUGUUAGGGGGUUGGUAUUAUCAUCUCUCUCUCUCUGUUAGGGGGUUGGCAUUAUCAUCAUCUCUCUCUGUUAGGGGGUUGGUAUUAUCAUCAUCUCUCUCUCUGUUAAGGGGUUGGUAUUAUCAUCAUCUCUCUCUGUUAGGGGGUUGGCAUUAUCAUAAUCUCUCUCUGUUAGGGGGUUGGUAUUAUCAUCAUCUCUCUCUCUGUUA
rnacentral:lncRNA from 1 species